rnacentral:tRNA from 1 species
GCGCCUAUAGCUCAGCCUGGUAGAGCACCUGCCUUUUAAGCAGAGGGUCGUAGGUUCAAAUCCUACUGGGCGCACCA